GAAAUAUGUUUCUAGCUGU
rnacentral:miRNA from 1 species